rnacentral:misc_RNA from 1 species
GUGAGUCAUCGAAUCUUUGAACGCAACUUGCGGCCGCCGGCAUUCCGGCGGCCAUGCCUGUCCGAGCGCCACUACAACCCCUCAGGCCCCGUGCCUGGCGUUGGGGUGCUACCUAUUGCUGGUGGCGCCCCGAAACACAGUGGCAGCGGCGCCCGCGGCGCGACGUGUGUAGUAACAUCACUGGCACGAAGCCCCGGCGUUGCCCGCCGACAAGAACCCCAACCUCUCAUCAGGUUGGCCUCGGAUCAGGUAGGAUUACCCGCUGAACUUAAGCAUAUCAAUAAGCGGAGGA